CAACCGGUAAUGCGCUCUACUUGGCUAUCAUAGGAGCGGCUGUUAACCGGUUGGUCGCUGGUUCGAAUCCGGCCCGGGGAGCCA
rnacentral:tRNA from 1 species